rnacentral:lncRNA from 1 species
AUCGACCACUAUUCUCAAUUUAGUAAGGCGGAGAACUGUUGUUCAUUGGAGCGCCGGAGUGCAGGGGUUGUUCCCACCAUUGAGGUCAGAGUGUGGGACUGAGCCUUCCAAAUGAUAAAGACCCAAAACUUAUUCGUUUCGUUGAAAGAACCAACGCAAAUAUCAUAUUAACUCUCCCUCGUUUAAUAAGAGUUUCCGAGAGUGAUUUGAAGAAAUUCUCUCCAUUCCAAAGCUGCGCAAGGCGGCCCCCCAGAACAAACCCCACCCCUCUUCC